rnacentral:miRNA from 1 species
AAAGGUCAGGAUGGCGGAGUG